rnacentral:rRNA from 1 species
UGGGGAAUUUUGGACAAUGGGGGAAACCCUGAUCCAGCCAUCCCGCGUGUGCGAUGAAGGCCUUCGGGUUGUAAAGCACUUUUGGCAGGAAAGAAACGUCAUGGGUUAAUACCCCGUGAAACUGCCGGUACCUGCAGAAUAAGCACCGGCUAACUACGUGCCAGCAGCCGCGGUAAUACGUAGGGUGCAAGCGUUAAUCGGAAUUACUGGGCGUAAAGCGUGCGCAGGCGGUUCGGAAAGAAAGAUGUGAAAUCCCAGAGCUCAACUUUGGAACUGCAUUUUUAACUACCGGGCUAGAGUGUGUCAGAGGGAGGUGGAAUUCCGCGUGUAGCAGUGAAAUGCGUAGAUAUGCGGAGGAACACCGAUGGCGAAGGCAGCCUCCUGGGAUAACACUGACGCUCAUGCACGAAAGCGUGGGGAGCAAACAGG